rnacentral:rRNA from 1 species
GACGAACGCUGGCGGCGUGCUUAACACAUGCAAGUCGAACGAGGCCCUGCCUUCGGGCAGGUGACCUAGUGGCGAACGGGUGAGUAACACGUGGGCAACCUACCCUCAGCUCUGGGAUAACCCCGGGAACCGGAGCUAAUACCGGAUAUGACCAGGAGCGACAUCGCUCGUGGUGGAAAGUUUUUCGGUCUGAGGAUGGGCCCGCGGCCUAUCAGCUUGUUGGUGGGGUAAGUGGCCUACCAAGGCGACGACGGGUAGCCGGCCUGAGAGGGCGGAACGGCCACCACUGGGACUGAGACACGGCCCAGACUCCUACGGGAGGGCAGCAGUGGGGAAGUAUUGGACAAUGGGCGGCAAGCCUGAUCCAGCAACGCCGCGUGGAGGACGAAGGU